UGUGAAAGUAAAGAGAUAAGGCUGCUUUCAUACCUGCAGCAGAAGUAUAUGGGGUAACUCCUGCCUCUUGUUGCUUCAUCCUGCCCCAACCCCCUCCGUCCCCAGACUCAAGGAGUUUCCUCAGAGGGGUCAAGGAGGUGGGUGGGCGGGGGUUUGUUAUGUGUGUAUGAGUGUGGCUAGAGAGAGGGGUUGGCACAGCUGGUUCCUCAGCCAAUCGGGUUCGACUCAAGGGCAUCAGAUUGCUCGAGGGGCAAUAACGAGGAGUGCUAUUAAAUAUAAGGAUCCAGUCAGCCUAAGGAGUCCACCCGCCCACCCACUUGCCUGUGUGGUUGUCUCUCUGGUCUUGCUCACCCACCACCAGCACUACCUCCGUCUCACUUUCACUCCUUCACUGAGAGUCUCCUUUUCUGUCCGUCUCUCGCCCUCUCUCUCUCACUCACUCCUUGGAUUGGGUUCUGCUGCCUGGCUGGUUCCAUAGUUGUGAACAUGUGACAAGACUUCUCUGCACAUACUUCAGUACUGCAAGUCAAGACUAGGAUCAUUACAUAACAGCACUGAACCAACUGAAAAAGCUGACCAUGACCAGUGUGAACUCCCCAGCCUGCCUUCUUGCCCGGAACCAGUUCUAUCGCAAUGUUGAAAGCUCAGCUAAAAUGCCUGCAGUGUAUGGGCUCUCUGAGUGUUUGAAACAACCCAAACAAAGGCAAGUGACUGUCUGGGUGACCGCAUCCACAAAUCCAGGGCACCCAGAGGAGACAAGAAGCUGGAUGAUAAGUGUUGUGUUUCGGGCCCCGUCCCCGCGGAACAGUCCGUCCAGCCGACCGGUGAAGUAGGCUGGGUAAGAGAUGAGAAGAGAGCAGGCCACAAGGCCUGACGUGUCGACCUCAGUGGGAGGUGGAACAUUCCUCAGCUCAGCUCUCAGUCCACACCCCUGUAUGGACAUGAGCCUGAGCCAACCUUGGACAAUACAGCCAGCUAAAUCCAAAACUGUGAGAGUGGCAUAGGAAAUCUGUGUCUGUGUGUUGGGUGCUAGUGUAUGGACUGUAAUAAACAGUGUAUGUGCUGUCGGUAACUGUGUGCUGUAUGUGUGUGUAGAGUCUACUGUGAUAUCAAGUAUCGACGCUGAACCUUGCUUUCCUUUGCGCUCUCCAUUUGCAACCCCCACCCCUGGCUUUAUUUUGUACAGGGUAAAUCCCUUUUUGUAAUUGAUCUAAGAGAUAUCCCUACCAAAAUAUGCAAUGGCUAUUAUUGCAUAACAUUCCCAUCGCGCCCCUUAACCUUUUCAAUAGCAGACUCCAGCACUUAUCCUCUUUCCCCACAACGGCAGACUCUUUGAACAAAAUCUACCGCCACCCCCCCCCCUCCAUCUCCAUGGACACAGGCAAGCUGAGUGCCUAAGAGCG